ensembl:lncRNA
UUCACUAAGAUUAUCUUAGCCUUCAGCGGUAGGGAAUUAGCUCUUUUUCUCAUGGGUAUUACAUGUUAGAGUCAGGCUGUGCCAUGGUUAAUCAUCUGAGGCAGAAGACAAGUCGUUUCUGAACACAUCUCCCAACCAAGCACCCCAAAUGCUCUCCCUGUACAGGCCAGGUUGUCCUUUCUCUGCAUUAAAGGACUGUUCAGGAUUCUUUAGUUCUGUUGAGUGUGGGUAUUCCCUUCAUCAGCCUUCCCAUGCCUUGGUCCACAUUGAGUUAGAAGAAUGCCACAAAAAGCUUAUCAAGAGGGUGCAAGAAAUAUUUGGUAAAUUACUCAUUGGUGUGUUGAAAUCACACUAGAGAUUUGCUUCUCAUCCUCAGUAAUAUCCUCUGAAAUGUCUUUAAAUUUCAGUAGUGAGACUCUCUCUCUCCUUGAAUUUAUAUUUUGUUUCCUUAAGUUUUUAACAUGGUCACUUUGGCCUGAACUGAUUUCCUUUUGAGUUCUAGUUCUGAUCUCCUAAGAACAAAGCUAUCAGGCACUAUGUCUAUUGUUCUAAAUUGUAUCCAGCUUUUGUACUUCAUAAAGUAAAACAAAGAGGGUGCCUUUGCAGUAGCAUCGAGCUCAUUUUUGCCCUUCUGCCUUUUAUGUAAGCAUUGCUCAUGACCUCUUGCCUUAACUGUAGUCAUAGCCUUCAGGCUGGGGGUCUAUGCUUAUCUCUCUUCUCCAGUCUGUCCUUCUGAGAACCACCGAGACGUCUUUCUAAAGCACAUCUGUAGUCAUAUCCCUCCCCUAGGAACAAGAAUUCAUAAUACAGAUUCUUCUGCGCCAUAGCUGUGACCAAUUUUUCCAGCUUUCUUACUCUCUAAACCCAAUCAUUCUUCCUGGGCAGUAGCUGGUCCCUGAUCCUCUCCUAACUGGUACAAGGCAUCCUUCAUGCCUGUAGGGCGCUGACUUACCAUCUUCUGCGGUUACUAUAGGCAGUCUUCUCCCUCAAGAACUAGCUAGGGGCUUCUCUAGGAAGCCUGCCCUUCUUCCUUCCCCAACUUUCCCCGAAAAUAAGCUCUGCUCUCCUUGCCCUGAUCUUGUCUCAUCUCAGGAGGUGUUGGCCUUGCCACCCAGUCAGAUUAAGGUCAAAAACUUGGCAGCCAAAGGGCCAGGGCCCGGCCGGCAUUCUUAGGGUUUUUGCUACCCAGUGCACAUUCUGCUCGUGAAAAGGGGAGCCACUAGGGACCUGGCAGGCUCCUAGUUUGUUCUACAAAAGAGUCGUCUGAAUCCUAAACUCAUCCCAAUCCUCUCCUCUCCAACCAUGUAACAAUCCCUGGACCAUUGCUUUGAAACCCACACAUCCCCUCUUCCUCCUCAGAACCACAGUUAAGUGUUGUGCCCAAACACCUUGUAUUUGCACAAUACUUAUGAGUGCCAAUAAUAAUUCUUUGAGAAAGGGACCUUUCAUUUUUGGCCUCUUCCCCAGUUUCUAAGAUUCAUUCACAUGGAGAUUUCCCACACAGUGACAUUUAUCAUUUCCUUUGUUCCCAUUCUUGUGGCUUGGUUCCCUAAUGUCCUAUGAUAUUCACUCAUUGUAACUUUCCACUGGUUAUCUAUGUAAAUGCUUUGCUCAUAAAGACUAAUAACCAAUAUUUUCAAAAACAUUGAUUCCAUUACCCUUUUUAGGAAUGAGCUAGAGUUAAAAGGCUCAUGUCUGACCCUGCAUCUUACAGCCUUAUUUUAUUUAUUGUGUCUAAUCUGCUAAAGAUUUUUUAAGAGAGAGAGAAAACACAAGCAUAAUGUAUAAUCAGAAUGCUAAAAAUUGGCUAUCUGUAAGCCAUUGUGAAAAAGGAGGUCUUUUAUGAGCCUCUUCUAGGAUCUCUGUGUCAAAAUAUUCAAGAAGCUUGCCAAAACAGCUCUUAAUGAUGCUUUUCAGGCCUUACAGGGAUGCAGGAGCUAAAUUAGGAAUUGAAUAAUCACAGUUGCAAAGAUCUUUAAAUGUUAUGAAAAGCUGUGUUAUUUUUUGAAAGUUGUAAUUAUUUUCUGGAAAUUGUCUUAUGCUAGAUUUGUGAAAUUCAGUGACCUUAAAAAAAAAAAAAAAAAAAAAAGGAAUGUGUAAACCACCUGCUUAUAGACAGAUUUGUCAUUGCACAACUAAAACAUGUAGCACGAGCACUGUGGCACCUUGGUUAAGGAAUGUGUAAUUAUCCCUCUAGUCUCAUAUCUCCUCCCCUUGAGUCAAGCUGACCAAACAGCCAUUCAAGGAUCCCCUUUGUGCGUGUGCGUGUGCGUGUGUGUGCAUCUAUGCUGCUGCCGACAUUAGACCAGGAAUCUCUUCUUCUCCAUCCCCUGAAACUGUGCAUCCCUUUGCUGUUACCCAAACAUCCUUCCCUUUUUAAUAUGUGUGUCCCUCCCUUCACUCACAUCCCAGUUUUUCAACAUUGGACUUAGGGAGGAUUUAAAAUCCAUUUAUUUACUAUGAGAGAAGCUCUUGAAAUGAAAUAGUCUCUUGCUGGUGUCUGACUUGAAACACUUAUUGGGAAGAGAAAACCCAAACGUGCAUUUUCUUAGUUCCAUUUGUUGUAACUGAGUAGUUGGUAAUCAGACAGCCUGAGUUUAUCUUAAACUCUGCAGAGACCAAGAAAUCAAACCCACAGGCAUGGUCCAAAAGGAAAAUCUCAUCAACACCAAAGAAAUAGAGGGACCCUAGUAGGAAUUACUGCAAUCUGUGGUUAUAGAUAAUAAGCCCUACUCGUUACAGAGUAGGAAAGGACCAAUCUAGAUUUUUUUUAAGUGGGAAAAUGAUAUAGUUUUGGGGGGUUGGGGGGAGAGGAGGGGAACAGGGACACAGCUUUUCUGUGAUGCUAUGGUUGAUGGUGCUGAAAACUGGUAUCAGUAUUGAGUAAGCGAGGUCGCCAUUGAGAUUAUGCACAAACUGUUGCAAUAAAAAACAUUCCUUGUGCCUGCAAUUAAACAUUUAAUGUCAUUUUACUCUGGGCUUUUUCAUUUAAGAGGACACUUUCUUUUCAAAUGAUAUAACAUUCCUACAGAUUGUUUGAAUGACUGGAAUGAUAGACAAGUGGCAAUAGCAGUAAACGUUUGUACUUUGUGGUGAGCAAGAGGUUGUGAGCAAAUAGCUUUUUUACAUGGGCAUGUAUGUAUGAGGUAAGCUUCCCAUUUAGAAAUCAACUCCCCUUUCCCUCAUCAUUCUAGAAAUUACAUGGAGAAUUACAAUCCUAUCAGGUUUUAAAUUACCCAGUGUUUUAUGUGACUUUGAUGUGGACCAAAGGUUCCAAAAACAAAACAAACAAACAAACAAACAAACAAAAAAAACCUUCAAAACUAUGCUAGUUAAUAUAUACCCUGGGAACUACUAACCCUGAUUGUUUAAUUUCCUAUCAAGCCUUAAAAUAGUUCUUUGGUUUAAAAUAAAAAAAAAUAUAUAUAUAUAAAACAAAAUAAAAAAUUUACCAGGAAGAAAGGUCACUUUGUCUUGUCCUAAAACUGUCUAGAUUCAAUUGAGGUAUUCUUUAUUCUUUGAUAGCUUUAUCAUACUCUUUAACUUUUUCUAAAACCAUAGAAUUAUAGAAGCAUAUGGCCAGCUAAGAUUUCUAAACAUAAAACAAAAUGAUUAUGUAGACCUUCAUGGGUGGCUAACAGGAAUGCAUGUGUCAAAUGGAAAAAAGAGAGUGAAGGGGAGCAAUAGAGGAAAAUGGAGAAAAGUCAAUGACAUUUCAUUACCUUAACCCUUUUUAGAAUUGUUUGCUAAGAAAAAAAGUCAGUAAUUGAAAAAUGAUGCUAUACUAUCUUGAACAGCUGACCAAGUACUAAGGCUGUCAGAUCAGCCCAAUCUAAGGACAUUUUCAUUUCCAUUGAUGCUUUCAGUGUAAGCUUUAAAAUAUUAACCAUCCAACUGUAUUUUCCAUCCAACUCAAAUCAGUGAUGCAUUCUGAAUUGUAGACUCCCAGCUAACAGUGUGGAGCUGCAGCAGGAAUGAGUGGGUGGCAGUUUCUGUCAAGGUCAUACUAAGGAAAUUAGGUGGGUGCCCAUGAGAUGAAUUUGUAUGAGCUUCGCUCCAUUCAGGGAGAAGAUGGAGGCAUUUGUUUGCUUCCCCCUUCAGUUAAGCCUCUUCUUCUUUCCAGAAGGAACAGUUAACUUUUAGCCAAGAAUUUUCUUGCUAGAAGAAUGUUCCAAAAAGAAAAAAUCCGGUUGUUUUCAUUUGGUUCUGUUCUAGGGGUAUUAGUUUAAAAAAAAAUAAUAUUAAUCCUAUGUAAUGUCCCAGAAGUGAGCUGUAGCAUUAGAACUGCUGUUGUCUUUGACUCUUCCCUUGUUUCAUGGUCAUUGUUCCCUACUCUUUUUCAUUCCUUUAUUAAAAGUGAAAACAGUAUUAUAGUCACAUGGUUUAUUUAAUAAAUGAUGCUGAAGUGUGUCAAGUUUAUCACACAAGAGUCUGCCUGUUAUCCAUUGGGCAAAUUCGUUGGCUUUUGGCUCCAUUUGGUUUAGUAGCAGCAAUCUCUGGGAAUGCUUUUGAUUGCUUUUAGGAGAAGAAGGAAGGAGGCUAUAUUAAGCCAAAGGUGUUAAGCCAUUGUAUGAUCGAUAUUUAUUAUAAGCUCUACGGAAUUUUUUGUGAUGCUAAGAAACUUCUCAAAUAUAUGUAAUGACAUCCAUUUUUCUUAGUAAACUUUGUUUAUUGCUCAUUAUUGUGAAGGUUUGGGUCCAUGUAGAACUUAAAUAAUGUCAGGAACUAAACUCUGUUAAUGAUAGAAAAUUGAUAAAGAAAUCAUUAUUAACUUCAUUGUCAAAUUGGUUUUCAUACAAUAUCUUUCACUAUGUAAUUAGGAUAUAAGAAUGCAACUGUCUUGUAACUUAGCACUUUUUCCUAUUAAGCCCUGUUCUUUUCCAAAAUUAUGGUAUUAAUGCAAAAUUUAUAUACACAUGGUCUCGGUGUGUAGGUAUAUGCAUACCAUAUACCUGGCAUUUUUCUUUGAGAUUGAAAUAUACCCAUGUGUAUUCAGAGAAGCGCAGGAUUCAGAAUCAAAGACCUGAGUUUGAAUCCCAGCUCUGCCACUUAUUUCCUGUGACUUCUGACAAGGCACUGAACCUUCCAAGGCCUCAGUUUCCUCAUUUGCAAAGUUAGGGGGUUAGUCUGUGUGCCCUUUAAGUUUGCUUCCAACUCUAAAUCUAUUAUCUUAUAUCAAUCUCAGUUCCCCAUUUCUCAUGCUGUAUCUUUCAGUAUGUUUAAACUGGACAAAAGUAUUUAAGUCAAGACAUAUAUCAUUUCUUAAUAGAAAUUUUAUCUGUAAAAUUAUAAGUUGUCAGAGUCCAGUGUGGCUAUUACUCUCUUUAACGUACUAUACCCUCCUUUAGAUAACUGUUUGUCCCUAAGCCGAGUAAAAUGACCACAGCCUUUUGGGAAAGAAAGGAAAGGUCUUGGACACUCAGCAGAACAACCCUGGCCUGGCUCUGAUCUCUUGCAGUUAAUUAUAAAGACCUUCAGUGAGAAGACAGAACCAAAGCUGAUCAUACCCCAUCCCAUCUUUACUUAUCAUUUUCCCCCAAAAAAGGCAAAUUGAAUGGUCCUGUUGACAUUGAGCUUGGCCAUGGUCACCAAUCACAAGCCUUGUCAGCCACAGUGAAGUAGCCUGGGAUAGAGGGAAUAGUUUUAUUCCAUUUUUGUUUUCCCGUGAAAUAUUUCAGCUUUUGAAUGGACACCUAGCAGCACAAGGAGGGUGAAAGAGAUUUGAAAAAGCUUUCUGAAGAGAGUCUGUAAAAAUAUCACCUGCAUUUCAGAGGAAUGAAAUAAUCUCAGUCCUCCCUUCUGAAGGAGGGGCAUUAACUCUGGGGUUCUAAGGGAGUAUGCUGCCAGGUCUCAGCUGUCGCAUGCCAUAGGUUCGCGUUGGUCAGAGACUCUUGUACUGAAUGGAAAAUGCAUCAGUUGCCUUGUCUCGUUUGUACAGGGCUCUAGGCCUUGUUCUGCACCCGUUCCCAUAGUCCACGUGUUUCGAUGAUGCCUGUGAACAGUUAGGUCCUCAAACUGUGGUGCUAUUUACUCCUUCUGUAACCAAUGGUGCUUUUGUGGAUGCUAACUGUGUACUUGUGGAACAGAGCUUAAAAUUUAAAAUCCUCCCAUUAUCUGUUUGUAUGAUGUAAAACAAGAUGUCAGACUUGAAUUUGUUUUGGCGUGUCAUUGACAAUCGAAUAAAGUGUGUGUGUGUGUGUGUGUGUGUGUGUGUGUGUGUGUGUGUUUAUGUGUGUGCUUGCAUGAUCUGGAGUUUUGAAUUGCUUUUUCAGAAAACAGCCCAGCUCCUGUAACAGGCUGGGGCCCUUAUCUCAGCUGGAGAACGGCCGAGUCUGCAUUCUUUCAUCUUCCCAAGCACCCUCUGGGAUGUGCCCUCUGCCAACCCUUAGAAUCUGGUGGGCCUAACUUACAUUGCAGUUCACUGCACCUCCUUCAGCUUGCAAAGUAAGCUAGAGAAGAGGAAACAGGACUGGGGCCUUUGAAACUCAGGGACCUGCUCAAGAGGCAUCCUGUUAGCAUGGGGACAGCAGCAGGUGGCGGCUGUCUUUGGACAUGAGAGCCACCGAAAGUUGCCCUUAGUCUAAAUUAUGGCCAGAAAAAUAACCAAGAAAAGCCCAUCAAGGUCUUGUGUUGAUGUAGAAGAACUGAGCAGGAUCAGUGCACCAGUACACACGCUCUAGGCUUGGAGCCACUACGGCAAGGCAGGGAGCUGCUCCCAAAUAAGCCAGGCCACAGCACGAGGGUUUGGGUGAUUUUCAGAGCAAAAUGAGAGCUGGCAUUUAAGUGGUGCACCUGGAAAAGCUAAGGUGUACCCAGGUGCAGAGAAUGGUCAGGAAAACACAUUCCCAAGGUGUUAAAGGUUUUUUCCUUAUAUUUGUUUAAAAGAACUGCAGACUGAACUUUAAGGAGCCAUUUGGAUACAGGCCUGUCUUCUUGCAAGGCCAAGAGGAGAAAUGGGUUUGUUUUUCUGAUUUCAGCCUUUAAAAAAUGAAAAAUCCAGAGUGUCAAAUCUCCACCCCACCUACAGGCAUUUUAUUUCCACAGUUUUAUGUGCACACACACACACACACACAUAUAUAGAAGGUCAAAGGGCUGCUAAAGAAUUGUAGCUUUCUUAUAGAAGACAACUCCACAGCAAGAUGGUAAGCAGAGAUUGACGGGAGCCUUGUGAGUGGUUACCCUUAAGGCAAAAUCAAAUCUAUUCCUAGGGAUAUUGGAGCUGCUUUUUUUUUUUUGGGGGGGGGGGGGAGAAUACAUAUAAUUACCUAGAUUUGUAUCUAAUUGAAAUGGAAUCAGAUAGUCACCCCUGCUGUCAACCAAAUUUGCAUAUUCUUGUUCUUCACAAUAUUUGUCCUGUCAAUAAAUUUGCUUACCUGUGUAGUCAAA